GGGAAGGUGGCUCAGUGGUAGAGUGCUUGCCUUGCAUGCAUGAGGUCUUAGGUUCGAUUCCUCAGCACCCCA
rfam:Dipodomys ordii contig_44467, whole genome shotgun sequence.